ACACGAGUGCAGCUUUUCGUGAGCAGCGUGGAGUAAAUGUUAUAUUCUAAUAAGUUGGUGUUAUUGUUGUCCAAGAAGACAUAAAUCCAUUCGGAAUAUUAUUGUGUUGCCAGAGGGUUAAGAAGGACCACAAACUAAUGUGUUUCGAUAACUAUUCUCCGGUUGUUUUUUUUAUGGUCGAUUGCUGAGAGAGGACGACUGCGACUCGAGGUGUCCCAGCAGCGGGAGGCAGCCCGGCCGCCACUGCUACUUCACGUGGAGGAGUCACGGAGCCACUCCAUGGAUUUGGACGUGCCAGUUUUCCACGCGGAUUCCAGAUAAGAUUUGACAAUUAAAAGAACAUAAGGUCACAAUAUACAAACAACUAAGACUGAACUGAGAAGGAAACAAAGUGACUAAAAAAAAAAACUUUUGACUUGACUGAACUGAACUUGAACUAACUUUCUACAAGAAGGAUCCUACUCUACAGCCGUGGAGAAAGAACUGAUAAGACAAUUGUUAAGUACCCGGGUACAGUAACUAAAGUUGGCUAAGUGAGUUUAUUUUUUUUAUUUUUUAUUUUUUUGUGGUUAUUAUAUAACCAGAGCUCUGGGAAAAGAGGUACACUUAAUUUCAUUUUUUUGAAUACGCCUUACUGUGCUUUGCUUUAUUAUUUUGUUUAAGUAUAACAGAAGGUGAACCAGCAUAGUCUGAGAGAAGUGUUUAAUUCAUUUUUCUAUAAAUAAAUGCACCCAGUUAUUGUAUUAAGUCGUUGUGGUGUUUUGCUUAACAUCCUCUGACCAGAACCUAGAUUUUAGACAUUGAUGUUUUGCUAUUACUCCCUUACAGUUAGUGUUACAAGAAUAUAAACAAAAACUCAGGAUCAUGACAGCUACAUGAUACUGUUGUAUAGUGACUAACUGGAGAGAGUUAAUAAAAAUGUAUUUAGGAGAGUAAUUAUUACCGUUGACAUGCCUCUUUUGUUUGACAGUUUAUCCUCUAGAAGAGCAGCAAUAUAAUAAAGUAGUAGCUGCAAAAAAGCCAACAAGCUAUGUUCCUCUGUUUUGCACUGUCCGUUUUCCUUAACCCAAAAUAUUAUAACAGAUUCACUAAACCUUGUAAACAGAUGUGCUUAUUGCAGCAAAUCUAGUUCAAUAAAUCAUUUUCUGACAAA